rnacentral:rRNA from 1 species
UACGUAGGGUGCGAGCGUUAAUCGGAAUUACUGGGCGUAAAGCGUGCGCAGGCGGUUGUGCAAGACAGAUGUGAAAUCCCCGGGCUUAACCUGGGAACUGCAUUUGUGACUGCACGGCUAGAGUGUGUCAGAGGGGGGUAGAAUUCCACGUGUAGCAGUGAAAUGCGUAGAUAUGUGGAGGAACACCGGUGGCGAAGGCGGCUUCCUGGACCGAUACUGACGCUGGAGGCGCGAAAGCCUAGGGGAGCAAACGGG